AACGAACGCUGGCGACAGGCCUAACACAUGCAAGUCGAACGCUCCGCAAGGGGGAGUGGCGCACGGGUGAGUAACACGUGGGAACCUACCUUCUGGUACGGAACAACCAAGGGAAACUUUGGCUAAGACCGUAUACGACCUCCGGGUGAAAGAUUGAUCGCCGGAAGAGGGGCCCGCGUCCGAUUAGGUAGUUGGUGAGGUAACGGCUCACCAAGCCUUCGAUCGGUAGCUGGUCUGAGAGGAUGACCAGCCACACUGGGACUGAGACACGGCCCAGACUCCUACGGGAGGCAGCAGUGGGGAAUAUUGGACAAUGGGCGCAAGCCUGAUCCAGCCAUGCCGCGUGAGUGAUGAAGGCCUUC
rnacentral:rRNA from 1 species